GGCAGGUAAUUCAGGGGCAUGUAAUUCAUGGGCGGGUAAUUGAGGGGAAGGUAAUCCAGGGGCAGGUGAUUUAGAGGAAUGUCAUUCAUUGGCAGGUAAUUCAGAGGAAGGUAAUUCAGGGGUAAUUUAAGGAGAGGUAAUUUAUAGGAAUGUCAUUCAUGGGCAGGUAAUUCAGUAGCUUGUAAUUCAGGGUUAGGUAAUCCAGGGGCAGGUAAUUCAGGGGCAUGUAAUUCAGAUGAAAUGUAAUUCAGGGGCAGGUAAUCUAGGUGGAGGUAUUUCAGGGGUAUGUCAUUCACGGGCAGGUAAUUCAGGGGCAGAUAAUUUAGGGAUAGAUAAUUCAGAGAUAUGUCAUUCAGGGGCAGGUCAUUCAGGUGCAUGUAAUUAAGAGACAUGUAAUUGAGGGGCAGGUAAUUCAGGGUCAUGUAAUUCAGGUGUUUUAAUUCAGGGGCAGGUAAUUCAGAUGCAUGUAAUUUAGUUGCAGGUAAUUCAGGGGCCGGUACUUCAGGGUUAAGUAAUUAAGGGGCAUGUCAUUCAGAGCAAGGUAAUUCAGACCCAGGUAAUUGAGGGGCAUGUAAUUCAGGUGCAGGUAAUUCAGGGGCAUGUAAUUAAGGGGCAUGUAAUUCAGCGGCAUGUAAUUGAGGAGCAGGUAAUUGAGGGGAAUGUAAUUCAGGGGCAUGUAAUUCAAGGGCAUGUAAUUCGUGGGUGGGUAAUUCAGAGCAAUGUAUUUCAGGGGCAUGUAAUUCAGGUGCAGGUAAUUCAGGUGCAUGUAACUCAGGGGCAUGUAAUUGAGGUGCAGAUAAUUGAGGGGCAUGUAAUUUAGGUGUAUGUAAUUCAGGGGUAGGUUAUUCAGGGGCAUGUAAUUUAGGGGCAUGUAAUUCGUGGGUGGGUAAUUCAGAGCAAUAUAUUUCAGGGGAAGGUAAUCCAGGGGCAGGUAAUUCAGGGGUAAUUCAGGGACAGGUAAUUUAGAGGAAUGUCAUUCAUGGGCAGGUAAUUCAGGGGCUGGUAAUUUAGGGAUAGAUAAUUCAGAGGCAUGUCAUUCAGGGGCAGGUCAUUCAGGUACAUGUAAUUAAGAGGCAGGUAAUUCAGGGCCAUGUAAUUCAGGGGCACGUAAUUCAGAUGCAUGUAAUUUAGGGGCAGGUACUUCAGGGGAAGGUAAUUUAGAGGCAUUUAAUUCAUGGGCAGGUAAUUUAGAGGCAUUUAAUUCAUGGGCAGGUAAUUGAGGCCAUGUAUUUUAGGGCCAGGUAGUUCACGGGCAGGUAAUUGAGGGGCAUGUCAUUCAGGGGCAGGUAAUUCAGGUGCAGGUUAUUCAGGGACUCAGGGGUAGAUAAUUCAGGGGCAUGUAAUUCAGGGUCAGGUAAUUCAGGUGUAUGUAACUCAGGGACAGGUAAUUCAGGGGCAUGUAAUUCAUGGGCAGGUUAUUCAGGGGCAUGUAAUUUAGGGGCAAGUAAUUUAGGGGCAGGUAAUUUAGAGGAAUAUUGGCAGAUAAUUCAAGGACAUGUAAUUAAGGGGCAUGUAAUUCAUGGGCAGGUAAUUUAGGGGCAUGUAAUUCAUGGGCGGGUAAUUGAGGCGAAGGUAAUCCAGGGGCAGGUAGUUCAGGUGCAGGUGAUUUAGAGGAAUGUCAUUCAUUGGCAGGUAAUUCAGGGGCAGGUAAUUUAGAGUGUAAUUCAGGGGAAGGUAAUCCAGGGGCAGGUAAUUCAGGGGUAAUUCAGGGAAAGGUAAUUUAGAGGAAUGUCAUUCAUGGGCAGGUGAUUGAGGGGCAGGUAAUUCAGUGGCAGGUAAUUCAGGGGUAAUUCAGGGACAGGUAAUUUAUAGGUAUGUCAUUCAUGGGCAGGUGAUUGAGGGGCAUGUCAUUCAGGGACAGGUAAUUCAGGGGCCCAUAAUUUAGGGGCAGGUAAUUCAAAGGCAUGUAAUUCAGGUGUAUGUAAUUCAGGGGCAGGAAAUUCAGAUGCAGGUUAUUCAGGGACAUGUGACUCAGGGGUAGGUAAUUCAGGGGCAGGUAAUUCAGGUGUAUGUAAUUCAGGGGCAUGUAAUUCAGGUGCAUGUAAUUCAUGGGCAGGUAAUUCAGGGGCAUGUAAUUCAGGGAAGGUAAUCCAGGGGUAUGUAAUUAAGGGGCAGGUCAUUCAGGGGCA
rnacentral:lncRNA from 1 species